rnacentral:rRNA from 1 species
GAUGAACGCUGGCGGCGUGCCUAGUACAUGCAAGUCGAGCGAACGGACGAGAAGCUUGCUUCUCUGAUGUUAGCGGCGGACGGGUGAGUAACACGUGGAUAACCUACCUAUAAGACUGGGAUAACUUCGGGAAACCGGAGCUAAUACCGGAUAAUAUUUUGAACCGCAUGGUUCAAAAGUGAAAGACGGUCUUGCUGUCACUUAUAGAUGGAUCCGCGCUGCAUUAGCUAGUUGGUAAGGUAACGGCUUACCAAGGCAACGAUGCAUAGCCGACCUAAGAGGGUGAUCGGCCACACUGGAACUGAGACACGGUCCAGACUCCUACGGGAGGCAGCAGUAGGGAAUCUUCCGCAAUGGGCGAAAGCCUGACGGAGCAACGCCGCGUGAGUGAUGAAGGUCUUCGGAUCGUAAAACUCUGUUAUUAGGGAAGAACAUAUGUGUAAGUAACUGUGCACAUCUUGACGGUACCUAAUCAGAAAGCCACGGCUAACUACGUG